rnacentral:rRNA from 1 species
AUUGAACGCUGGCGGCAGGCCUAACACAUGCAAGUCGAACGGUAACAGGAAGCAGCUUGCUGCUUUGCUGACGAGUGGCGGACGGGUGAGUAAUGUCUGGGAAACUGCCGAUGGAGGGGGAUAACUACUGGAAACGGUAGCUAAUACCGCAUAACGUCGCAAGACCAAAGAGGGGGACCUUAGGGCCUCUUGCCAUCGGAUGUGCCCAGAUGGGAUUAGCUAGUAGGUGGGGUAACGGCUCACCUAGGCGACGAUCCCUAGCUGGUCUGAGAGGAUGACCAGCCACACUGGAACUGAGACACGGUCCAGACUCCUACGGGAGGCAGCAGUGGGGAAUAUUGCACAAUGGGCGCAAGCCUGAUGCAGCCAUGCCGCGUGUAUGAAGAAGGCCUUCGGGUUGUAAAGUACUUUCAGCGGGGAGGAAGGGAGUAAAGUUAAUACCUUUGCUCAUUGACGUUACCCGCAGAAGAAGCACCGGCUAACUCCGUG